GACAGAGGUGCCGAGCGUUAGGCGGAAUCACUGGGCUUAAAGCGUGUGUAGGCGGACCGUUAAGUGUCUUGUGAAAUCCCACGGCUCAACCGUGGAACGGCUGGGCAUACUGGCGGUCUUGAGAGGCCUAGGGGCGAGCGGAACAGGCGGUGGAGCGGUGAAAUGCGUAGAUAUCGCCUGGAACGCCGACGGUGAAAACAGCUCGCUGGGGGCCUUCUGACGCUGAGACACGAAAGCCACGGGAGC
rnacentral:rRNA from 1 species